rnacentral:rRNA from 1 species
ACUGAAUAGAUACCCUGGUAGUCCACGCUGUAAACGAUGGGUACUAGAUGUUGCAGGAAAUUGACCCCUGCAGUGUCGACGCUAACGCAUUAAGUACCCCGCCUGGGAAGUACGGCCGCAAGGUUAAAACUCAAAGGAAUCGACGGGGGCCCGCACAAGCGGUGGAGCAUGUGGUUUAAUUCGAUGCAACGCGAAGAACCUUACCUGGGUUUGACAUCCCCAGACAGCCCUAGAGAUAGGGUUUCCCCUUCGGGGGCUGGGAGACAGGUGCUGCAUGGCUGUCGUCAGCUCGUAUCGUGAGAUGUCGGGUUAAGUCCCUUAACGAGCGCAACCCUUAUCCCUAGUUGCCAUCAUUUAGUUGGGCACUCUAUGGAGACUGCCGGUGUUAAACCGGAGGAAGGCGGGGAUGACGUCAAGUCCUCAUGGCCUUUAUAUCCAGGGCUACACACGUGCUACAAUGGCCGGUACAGAGGGUCGCCAACCCGUGAGGGGAGCUAAUCUCAUAAAGCCGGUCUCAGUUCGGAUUGAAGUCUGCAAUUCGACUUCA